CCCCCAAUUCAAAUCCUGGGCGGCAGGAAAUCGACUCCGCCGCCGAGCACCGCUUUGCCACCACCUCGUUGACCGCUGCCGGAUCGCCCCACGGCGGCGGGUCACCUCCAAUCGUCCCCAAAUUUUUACCGUACACUCCUCAUCCUCUCCUCAUUCCUAAUCUAUCAUCGCCUUCCCCAAAAAUCUACACAAACUCCACGAUAGUGGAUCUGAGAAAUCAUCAAAAUCCAAAAUCGCCUCUUUUCUUCUCUGGUUCCAUUCCGACCAAUUUGUCACUGAAACUUAUAUCAAUCAAUGGCUUUUUGCAUAAGCUGUCGAUUGAUUUUAGUUUUAGGUCGAUUGGUGGUCGCCGGAGGCCGGUCAAAUCGCCUUUGACCGGCCAGAAACUUUUUAUCCCCCUCGUCUCUUUCCUCUUUCUUUAACCCUGUUAUUUUGAGUUUCACCUGAAUCUCAUAAGUCUUUCUACCAAGAUGAUUCCUCUUGAUUUCAUAUCUAAGAAGAAUCUCUUAGAAGAAAGACCUUUGAGGGUCGGGUAACCCACGCAGAAGUCGUCUCGUUUGUUCCCGGUGGUAAAUUUUAUUUGCCUCAUCAUUUUUCUUCGUGGCCGUCACUGUCCGCAAUCCUCUUCGCCGGCGUUUGAUACUCCUGUUGCUUUGCGCUUGUGAUUGCAAAUUAAGAAUCAGCUUAGAAGAUCGCACGUACUGGUGGAUUAUCACUGUCUCUGCAGUUGAUCUCAUUAACUGGAAAUUUGUAGUUAAUUCGAGAUAAUAUCUGUGGUUAUACAUGUAAUUCAUUUCGUAUUGGGUUGUAUAUAAUUAAUUGUGAUUUUGAUCAUUUGAAAUUGGUUAUUAGUUAAUUUUUUCA